rnacentral:tRNA from 1 species
GGACCCGUAGCUCAGCUGGAUAGAGCGUCGCCCUCCGAAGGCGAAGGUCGAAGGUUCGAAUCCUUUCGGGUCCA